AUAAUGGGUCAGCGACUUAUAUUCUGUAGCAAGGUUAACCGAAUAGGGGAGCCGAAGGGAAACCGAGUCUUAACUGGGCGUUAAGUUGCAGGGUAUAGACCCGAAACCCGGUGAUCUAGCCAUGGGCAGGUUGAAGGUUGGGUAACACUAACUGGAGGACCGAACCGACUAAUGUUGAAAAAUUAGCGGAUGACUUGUGGCUGGGGGUGAAAGGCCAAUCAAACCGGGAGAUAGCUGGUUCUCCCCGAAAGCUAUUUAGGUAGCGCCUCGUGAAUUCAUCUCCGGGGGUAGAGCACUGUUUCGGCAAGGGGGUCAUCCCGACUUACCAACCCGAUGCAAACUGCGAAUACCGGAGAAUGUUAUCACGGGAGACACACGGCGGGUGCUAACGUCCGUCGUGAAGAGGGAAACAACCCAGACCGCCAGCUAAGGUCCCAAAGUCAUGGUUAAGUGGGAAACGAUGUGGGAAGGCCCAGACAGCCAGGAUGUUGGCUUAGAAGCAGCCAUCAUUUAAAGAAAGCGUAAUAGCUCACUGGUCGAGUCGGCCUGCGCGGAAGAUGUAACGGGGCUAAACCAUGCACCGAAGCUGCGGCAGCGACGCUUAUGCGUUGUUGGGUAGGGGAGCGUUCUGUAAGCCUGCGAAGGUGUGCUGUGAGGCAUGCUGGAGGUAUCAGAAGUGCGAAUGCUGACAUAAGUAACGAUAAAGCGGGUGAAAAGCCCGCUCGCCGGAAGACCAAGGGUUCCUGUCCAACGUUAAUCGGGGCAGGGUGAGUCGACCCCUAAGGCGAGGCCGAAAGGCGUAGUCGAUGGGAAACAGGUUAAUAUUCCUGUACUUGGUGUUACUGCGAAGGGGGGACGGAGAAGGCUAUGUUGGCCGGGCGACGGUUGUCCCGGUUUAAGCGUGUAGGCUGGUUUUCCAGGCAAAUCCGGAAAAUCAAGGCUGAGGCGUGAUGACGAGGCACUACGGUGCUGAAGCAACAAAUGCCCUGCUUCCAGGAAAAGCCUCUAAGCAUCAGGUAACAUCAAAUCGUACCCCAAACCGACACAGGUGGUCAGGUAGAGAAUACCAAGGCGCUUGAGAGAACUCGGGUGAAGGAACUAGGCAAAAUGGUGCCGUAACUUCGGGAGAAGGCACGCUGAUAUGUAGGUGAAGUCCCUCGCGGAUGGAGCUGAAAUCAGUCGAAGAUACCAGCUGGCUGCAACUGUUUAUUAAAAACACAGCACUGUGCAAACACGAAAGUGGACGUAUACGGUGUGACGCCUGCCCGGUGCCGGAAGGUUAAUUGAUGGGGUCAGCGCAAGCGAAGCUCUUGAUCGAAGCCCCGGUAAACGGCGGCCGUAACUAUAACGGUCCUAAGGUAGCGAAAUUCCUUGUCGGGUAAGUUCCGACCUGCACGAAUGGCGUAAUGAUGGCCAGGCUGUCUCCACCCGAGACUCAGUGAAAUUGAACUCGCUGUGAAGAUGCAGUGUACCCGCGGCAAGACGGAAAGACCCCGUGAACCUUUACUAUAGCUUGACACUGAACAUUGAGCCUUGAUGUGUAGGAUAGGUGGGAGGCUUUGAAGUGUGGACGCCAGUCUGCAUGGAGCCGACCUUGAAAUACCACCCUUUAAUGUUUGAUGUUCUAACGUUGACCCGU
rnacentral:rRNA from 1 species